rnacentral:rRNA from 1 species
CAGUCGCCGCGGGAAUACGGAGGGAGCUAGCGUUGUUCGGAAUUACUGGGCGUAAAGCGCACGUAGGCGGCUUUGUAAGUUAGAGGUGAAAGCCCGGAGCUCAACUCCAGAAUUGCCUUUAAGACUGCCGAGCUAGCAGGUGAGAGAGGUAAGUGGAAUUCCGAGUGUAGAGGUGAAAUUCGUAGAUAUUCGGAAGAACACCAGUGGCGAAGGCGGCUUACUGGCUCAUACUGGACGCUGAGGUGCGAAAGCGUGGGGAGCAAACAGGAUUAGAUACCCCUGUAGUCCCUGUCUCUUAUAC